AUUGAACGCUGGCGGCAGGCCUAAUACAUGCAAGUCGAACGAGUGGCGGACGGGUGAGUAAUGUCUGGGAAACUGCUCGAUGGAGGGGGAUAACUACUGGAAACGGUAGCUAAUACCGCAUACCAUCGGAUGUGCCCAGAUGGGAUUAGCUAGUAGGUGGGGUAACGGCUCACCUAGGCGACGAUCCCUAGCUGGUCUGAGAGGAUGACCGGCCACACUGGAACUGAGAAACGGUCCAGACUCCUACGGGAGGCAGCAGUGGGGAAUAUUGCGCAAUGGGCGAAAGCCUGAUGCAGCAAUGCCGCGUGUGUGAAGAAGGCCUUCGGGUUGUAAAGUUCUUUCAGCAGGGAGGCGUUACUCGCAGAGGAAGCACCGGCUAACUCCGUGCCAGCAGCCGCGGUAAUAC
rnacentral:rRNA from 1 species